CCUACGGGUGGCAGCAGUCGAGAAUCAUUCACAAUGGGGGAAACCCUGAUGGUGCGACGCCGCGUGGGGGAAUGAAGGUCUUCGGAUUGUAAACCCCUGUCAUGUGGGAGCAAAUUAAAAAGAUAGUACCACAAGAGGAAGAGACGGCUAACUCUGUGCCAGCAGCCGCGGUAAUACAGAGGUCUCAAGCGUUGUUCGGAAUCACUGGGCGUAAAGCGUGCGUAGGCUGUUUCGUAAGUCGUGUGUGAAAGGCGCGGGCUCAACCCGCGGACGGCACAUGAUACUGCGAGACUAGAGUAAGGGAGGGGGAACCGGAAUGCUCGGUGUAGCAGUGAAAUGCGUAGAUAUCGAGAGGAACACUCGUGGCGAAGGCGGGUUCCUGGGCAUUAACUGACGCUGAGGCACGAAGGCCAGGGGAGCGAAAGGGAUUAGAUACCCGAGUAGUC
rnacentral:rRNA from 1 species